rnacentral:lncRNA from 1 species
AAGAAAAAUUUGUUCAGCAUAUGAGUGGUAGAUACGACCAAAGCUACAUCUCUCAGCAAGUCAGUGCUCCAGCUUAAGCAACAAGAAAAAAAAAAGCUCUAUAUAGAACUGUGACAAACAUAGUUACUGCAUGGAACUAAGAAAAUGAUGUUUGUAGCGUGUAGAAGCUAGAAAAGAAAGAUGAAAUCAAUUUAAACUUUUUCAAAACCAAUAGCUAGACUGAGACUGUUCAGUCCUGAAUAUAUAUGUGUACAUAUGUGUAUGUACACAUAUAUACAAACAUUGGGUUCUCAUUUUGUUUUGGAAAGGUGAAGCUGGUCACCCCCAGAGUUAAUGGGAAAAUAUGUGGGAUUAGAAAUUGUGCCCCAGUAUUCUGGGACUCCUGCCCAAGCCACAGUGAUGGCUUUUCCCCUCUUAUGAUUGCUGCUGUACUGAAAUUUACCAUCAGUCAGCCAUAGAACAGAGCAACUCCCAAGGUUCCAGCUACUACAGUGACUCAUUUGGUGUGUCAUCAUUCCCUGGAGAAUGGAGGUACCACAUCAAAUCAUGGCCCAUCCUAAAGUCUAGUGCCACUGAAAUUUACAGCCACAGAACUGAAUUAAUCAAGAGGAACAACAACAACAAGAGUUCUCUUCCAAAAUGAUAGCUUUUUUGUAGCUCUGAAAUGAGAGGAACCCAAUCCAGAAGAAUCCACAGAAGGAGGAAAAGCCAGCAGAAAGGCAGCAGAUUAGACACAAAAUUGUAAUUGUUAGUACGCAACUGAUAAAUACAAAAGGGCGAAGAGAAUGUCAAUCCAGAAUGAUGCAAAUCCCUUCAUUAUUACUCUCGGUAUACGUCGUUACUUUAAGAUGUUAAAAAAGAGUAAACCAAAAAGCUUCACGUUCAUUUUACAGAAAAGAUUCUCAAGAGAUUUAAAUAGAAAAAAUGGAUAGUAAUUCAUCCCAAAUUAAUUUUCAACUUUCAAAUUUUAGCCUCCAUACUCCUCUUUAAGGCUACCUGGGGGUCUAUCAUGUUACAGCAGUGAAGCUGGAUGCUAAGUUGUUACGACGCCUGUUGGACCCUGCUUAAAAAGUUUGGUCCAGAAAAUAUAGUCCUGGAGGCAUGAAAAAUAGCAGAAAAACUGUAAUAUUAAUUCAUGUGGAAAAUAAUAUGGGGAAAGAGUAGAAGAGAUUAGAGAAGUUCAUAGAAAGUACCCAAGUCUCUUUAACUGCUACUUUCAACAUCUUUUUGCCAAAGUUGCUGAGUAGAAAUUAUGGAAUGAUAGGAGUUGUUUCUCUUCCUGUUUUAUAGUUAAAGGACUGCUAAUGAUCAGCAAAUAGCCAAAGGCAGAGGAGUCAAUCCAAGAUCUCUUCGGUUCUUUCCUAAUCAGGUUCAUCUACGUUGCUGCAAACAACAGAAUCUCACUUUUUUAUGGAUGAAUAGUACUUCAUUGUAUGAUUUCAUGAAGAUUAAUUAGAUACGUCCAUAAAAACAGGACUUGGACUUAAAGUAUAAUAACAACAACAACAGGACUUGGAACAUAAUCUUCAGCAUGAUAUAAUGACAUGUUAUAAUUACGGAAGUGUUAAGGUACGGCUGGGCUGGCUCGUUGAGUGACUCCUAAUAUGCAGUUUAGCAAGUGUUAGAAAGACAGGGUUUCUCAGUUCUACAGAAAGUGGUCAGAAGGCUGACACAGUAACCUUUUGGGUAAGCUUUUGAACACUGGUGUACAACUUCUCUGAAAGCAGGGCGUUUGGUCCUCUGCCUUUCAGGAAUGUUCAUUUUCUAUGUCACUACUUGGCAGUCAUCUUCUUUAUGCAGCUAAACCGGGGACGGCCAACAUGCUAUGUAUCAGAUGGUAGGAAAGAAGUAUUCGGUCUUUGACCUUGAGGAAUCCUGUGGCAGGUGAAGAGAGAAAAACUGGAUGGCUCUGAAAGCUCAGUUCCAUCUUCUUAUAGAAGCUUAGCAAGAAUCCAGCUCAGUAGGUCUGAGUUAGCAUAAAAAAAGAACACAUGGUAUCUGGCUCAUUCUAGCAGUGGUGGCUAAGCUGGCCCCUUUUCUGGUCAGAAAGCUCUCCCUCAGUGGUACAGGAACUGAUCCUUCUGGAGCAUUAGGGUCCACUCCUUGGAUGGCUUGAGGAGGGAGGCCACACCUCAAUGAGUCUUCUGCUUGUGCAAUUCCCCCCAAGUCUUACUUCACAUGUAUACUGCAUGGCACCAUGGGAUGUGGGCCUGCCCUCCUUGACUCAACAAGCUGAAUUCGCUCACCAAAGAGAUAUCCUGGCAGUGCAAGCACACUAACCUUAAUUACUUAUAAACACAGACUAGAAGAAAGUCAGAAUCAAAGUCAAGUGGAAUUCAAAAUGUAGGCAUGACAAUAAAACAGCCCUGGAUUCUGAGGUCCAACAGGUGACAACAGGAAUGGCCCAAAAGUAUUUGUUUGGAGUUCAUCUCUACAUAUAAUUUGAUUUUCUGAAAAUCACUUUCUCCUGGAUUAGGCUGCAAUGAAAAUACCAAGGCAUGUGACAAGGACAGUGGCUACCCGAAUGGGCUUCUCAAAGGUGUGAAGUAACGAACUGAAUAACGCAAGUCCGAAAAUACCACUUAGGUCUCUAGAAAGUUGCAGUUUUAAGUAUUUUUAGUCCUGCAUUGCCCAGAUAAUUAGCCUUCUACCCAUUCUACGUGUUACAUAUGUAAGAAAACAAGCUCUUACGAUAGAGACCAUAAAUCUUGGGGGACAAGAUAAAGAAUAUGCUGAUUUCCACAUUUUCGUAAUGGUCUGCCUAGGGAAAUUUUCCCAAAUUAAUGAGUAUGUUCAUGGGCAAUAAAUUAAAUAAGACCACCCUGGUGGAUUCUUAAAAACGAACCUAUAAAUCAAAAGGAAAGUGAAUUUCACACAAGCACAAUUCAGAAUGUGAACAUUAGAAGACUUGGCUUUUGCU